rnacentral:rRNA from 1 species
UACGUAGGGGGCUAGCGUUGUCCGGAAUCAUUGGGCGUAAAGCGCGUGUAGGCGGUCCGGUAAGUCCGCUGUGAAAGUCGAGGGCUCAACCCUCGAAUGCCGGUGGAUACUGUCGGGCUUGAGUACGGGAGAGGCGAGUGGAAUUCCUGGUGUAGCGGUGAAAUGCGUAGAUAUCAUUUGGAACGCCAAUGGUGAAAACAGCUCGCUGGGGAUGUACUGACGCUGAGACACGAAAGCCAGGGGAGCAAACGGG